rfam:Triticum aestivum genome assembly, contig: Triticum_aestivum_CS42_TGACv1_scaffold_307282_4AS
CAAAUACUCCCUCCGUCCGGAAAUACUUGUCAUCAAAAUGGAUAAAAGGAAAUGUAUCUAGACGUAUUUUAGUUUUAGAUACAUCUNUCUCUUUUUAUCCAUUUUGAUGACUAGUAUUUUCGGACGGAGGGAGUAGAAA